UAGUCCACGCUGUAAACGAUGAGGACUAGUUGUUUGUAUGUUAUGUAUGAGUGACGCAGCUAACGCAUUAAGUUCUCCGCCUGGGGAGUACGGUCGCAAGACUAAAACUCAAAGGAAUUGACGGGGGGCCCNCACAAGCGGUGGAGCAUGUGGUUUAAUUCGAUGCAACGCGAAGAACCUUACCAGGCCUUGACAUCCUGAGAACUUUCUAGAGAUAGAUUGGUGCCUUCGGGAUCUCUGACACAGGUGCUGCAUGGCCGUCGUCAGCUCGUGUCGUGAGAUGUUGGGUUAAGUCCCGUAACGAGCGCAACCCCUAUCCCUAGUUGCUAGCAGUUCGGCUGAGAACUCUAGGGAGACUGCCGGUGACAAACCGGAGGAAGGUGGGGAUGACGUCAGGUCAUCAUGGCCCUUACGGCCAGGGCUACACACGUGCUACAAUGGUGCGCACAGAGGGUUGCAAACCCGCGAGGGGGAGCCGAAUCUCACAAAACGCAUCGUAGUCC
rnacentral:rRNA from 1 species